rnacentral:rRNA from 1 species
GAUGAACGCUGGCGGCAGGCCUAAUACAUGCAAGUCGAGCGAACAGAUGAGAAGCUUGCUUCUCUGAUGUUAGCGGCGGACGGGUGAGUAACACGUGGGUAACCUACCUAUAAGACUGGGAUAACUCCGGGAAACCGGGGCUAAUACCGGAUAAUAUUUUGAACCGCAUGGUUCAAUAGUGAAAGACGGUUUCGGCUGUCACUUAUAGAUGGACCCGCGCCGUAUUAGCUAGUUGGUAAGGUAACGGCUUACCAAGGCGACGAUACGUAGCCGACCUGAGAGGGUGAUCGGCCACACUGGAACUGAGACACGGUCCAGACUCCUACGGGAGGCAGCAGUAGGGAAUCUUCCGCAAUGGGCGAAGGCCUGACGGAGCAACGCCGCGUGAGUGAUGAAGGUCUUCGGAUCGUAAAACUCUGUUGUUAGGGAAGAACAAAUUUGUUAGUAACUGAACAAGUCUUGACGGUACCUAACCAGAAAGCCACGGCUAACUACGUGCCAGCAGCCGCCGUAA